UACGGGGGGGGCAAGCGUUGUUCGGAAUUACUGGGCGUAAAGGGCUCGUAGGUGGCCAACUAAGUCAGGCGUGAAAGCCCCGGGCUCAACCUGGGAACAGCGCUUGAGACUGGCACGCUCGAGUUCGGGAGAGGAUGGUGGAAUUCCCAGUGUAGAGGUGAAAUUCGUAGAUAUUGGGAAGAACACCAGUGGCGAAGGCGGCUAACUGGUCCAGCACUGACGCUGAGGUGCGAAAGCGUGGGGAGCAAACAGG
rnacentral:rRNA from 1 species